GCCGGAGCGACGAGACAUAAACAUAAAACCCAUUAUAAACGUGAUAUAAACAUGAUUUCUAGUCGUGUUUUCUUUAAGAAGGCAAAAACAAAGUAGUUUCACUUUCUCAACGAAACAAUGUCACACACCACGGCCUUGAGUGAGCAGAGGCCGGAGGCCUAGAUUGAGCCGCGGUCGGCUUGAGUGAGCGGAGGCCGGCUUGAGUGAGCAGAGGCGGGCGGCUUGAGAACGGUGAGGCAGGUGGAUUCUACGAAUGAGCAUACCUUGGUCUUGCAGCAAGCACAUGUGACGACCCCGGGCUGGACUCCGCUUUGUCCAUGGUGAAAGCCGAUUCGGCGAUCCACAGUGCAAAGUUAAUGUUUUUCCUCAGCAAACAGCAUGGAUCAGCUCCAGGCAUGACGAAGCGGAUAUCGUCCUCUUUUGGAAGGCCAAAGUAGUUUCGCUUUCACAGUGAAACACAUAGCGUCUAUACAACAUGGCGGCGGCAACAACAAUGCUACCACGAGAAUAAAAGCUGUGUCCCAGCAUCCCGUGUUAGAUCAUUGUGUUCACGGACGAGUCCGACACAAAGCCGCACAGAGGGAGUCAUCCAGAUUGCAGCAUUAGAGCACCUGCAGAGAUGAAUGAAUCGAGCCUACUUAUUCUAAGACCGGCCACAAUGGGCAGAUUCCAUAGAGGAUUCACUGUAAUCCUGGAGAGGGUCACGGGAUCAGCGCUAUCAAGGCUCAGAGGAAGUCUACUGUACGUUGGAGAUUCUGACAAAUUGGAACAAAAGAGUAAAUAUGAAUUUCUGUCACGUAAAAUGUAAAAUGAGGAAGUAGUAGGCUACUCAAGUCAGUGUGAUCACAUCUGCAAAACUUGCUGCCACAAUGCCUGGGAGUUCUGAGUGUUUCUCAGUAAGUUGCUAGCUGGUUACUUACUGGUCUAAGUCUCUGUGAUGUUCUGGUCUUCAAACAUGACUCGACUCCCUCCUUCUAUGUAAGUAAAUGGAAUAAUUUUGCCUAUUUUAUUGCAUACAGA
ensembl:lncRNA